rnacentral:rRNA from 1 species
GUGCCAGCAGCCGCGGUAAGACGGAAGGUGCAAGCGUUGCUCGGAAUCACUGGGCGUAAAGGGUGCGUAGGCGGCCUGGUAAGUCUGGCGUGAAAGCCCAGGGCUCAGCCCUGGAAGGGCGCUAGAAACUGCGAGGCUCGAGUGCCGGAGGGGAGAGUGGAAUUCCUGGUGUAGCGGUGAAAUGCGUAGAUAUCAGGAGGAAUACCGGUGGCGAAAGCGACUCUCUGGACGGUAACUGACGCUGAGGCACGAAAGCGUGGGGAGCAAACAGGAUUAGAUACCCCAGUAGUCC